GGUGAAACACCAAAUGUUAAGUGGUCAAGCUAAUAAGAGCUAAUGGUGGAUACCUAGGCACACAGAG
rnacentral:rRNA from 1 species